AUUUACAAAUUUGAUUUAAGAAAGAGUUUGAAAAUUCAAUGGCAUAAGGCCAAAGUUUCUAAUUAUUAAAACAUGUCUAAGUUUGAAAUCACAAGCAAAGAAAGUUUUUGAAAAGGGGGGGGGGAUAUUUUGAAAUUCAAAAAGUGGAUGGAGAUGAAGAGGCUAUCCUAAGCACAAAUUUAAAAGUUAAGAGUUGAAAAGAUCUGACCAAUGGGAUGC
rnacentral:lncRNA from 1 species